UGAAAAAGUCUUUUGUGUACCAGAUGGAGCC
rnacentral:piRNA from 1 species